rnacentral:rRNA from 1 species
GACGAACGCUGGCGGCGUGCUUAACACAUGCAAGUCGAGCGGUAAGGCCCUUUCGGGGGUACACGAGCGGCGAACGGGUGAGUAACACGUGGGUGACCUGCCCUCAGCUCUGGGAUAAGCCUGGGAAACCGGGUCUAAUACUGGAUAUGACUCCAUGACGCAUGUUGUGGGGUGGAAAGCCUUGUGCGGCUGAGGAUGGGCCCGCGGCCUAUCAGCUUGUUGGUGGGGUNANGGCCUACCAAGGCGACGACGGGUAGCCGGCCUGAGAGGGCGACCGGCCACACUGGGACUGAGACACGGCCCAGACUCCUACGGGAGGCAGCAGUGGGGAAUCUUGCGCAAUGGGCGAAAGCCUGACGCAGCGACGCCGCGUGAGGGAUGACGGCCUGGUGUAACU